rnacentral:rRNA from 1 species
AUUGAACGCUGGCGGCAUGCUUUACACAUGCAAGUCGAACGGUAACAGGCCGCAAGGUGCUGACGAGUGGCGCACGGGUGCGUAAUGCAUCGGAACGUGCCCAGUCGUGGGGGAUAGCUACUCGAAAGAGUAGCUAAUACCGCAUACGAUCUAUGGAUGAAAGCGGGGGACCGUAAGGCCUCGCGCGAUUGGAGCGGCCGAUGUCAGAUUAGGUAGUUGGUGGGGUAAAGGCUCACCAAGCCAACGAUCUGUAGCUGGUCUGAGAGGACGACCAGCCACACUGGGACUGAGACACGGCCCAGACUCCUACGGGAGGCAGCAGUGGGGAAUUUUGGACAAUGGGCGCAAGCCUGAUCCAGCAAUGCCGCGUGCAGGAAGAAGGCCUUCGGGUUGUAAACUGCUUUUGUACGGAACGAAACGGCUCUGGUUAAUACCCGGGGCUAAUGACGGUACCGUAAGAAUAAGCACCGGCUAACUACGUG